UUUUAAACGAUGCCCAAACGGAAUAACACUUCCGAAAAGAUUUUUUACGAAACAGAAGAUACGCGCCAGACUUGAGAACCAAGGUAGGGGCCAGCAGGGGACCCGACAAGCCACCUAGGCGCGACCAGGGGGGCAUGCCUAGAAGGCUUGUGGCCCCCUAUGGCUCGUCUGCCCUACCUCUUCCGCCCAUAAUUCAGAAAAAUUCCGCCGCCGCAAGCUUCUAUCUCCGCAAGAUCCCAUCUGGGGCACGUUCUGGUGGCCUACCGGAGGGGGGAUUCGGCUACGGAGUGCUUCUUCAUCAACAC
rnacentral:lncRNA from 1 species